rnacentral:rRNA from 1 species
AUUGAACGCUGGCGGCAGGCCUAACACAUGCAAGUCGAGCGGUUGACGGGAGCUUGCUCCCUGAUUCAGCGGCGGACGGGUGAGUAAUGCCUAGGAAUCUGCCUAUUAGUGGGGGACAACGUUUCGAAAGGGACGCUAAUACCGCAUACGUCCUACGGGAGAAAGCAGGGGACCUUCGGGCCUUGCGCUAAUAGAUGAGCCUAGGUCGGAUUAGCUUGUUGGUGAGGUAAUGGCUCACCAAGGCGACGAUCCGUAACUGGUCUGAGAGGAUGAUCAGUCACACUGGAACUGAGACACGGUCCAGACUCCUACGGGAGGCAGCAGUGGGGAAUAUUGGACAAUGGGCGAAAGCCUGAUCCAGCCAUGCCGCGUGUGUGAAGAAGGUCUUCGGAUUGUAAAGCACUUUAAGUUGGGAGGAAGGGUUGUAGAUUAAUACUCUGCAAUUUUGACGUUACCGACAGAAUAAGCACCGGCUAACUCUGUGCCAGCCGCCGCGGUAAAAC